ACGUUCUUCGGUUUCUCAGACUGCGGGUGCGACCCCAGCAGGCGGGGCCUUGGGCCCCGGGCCCAGGUUUAGGAACCCGGGGAUCAGCUACACCGCGACCUCCUGGAUCCAGGACUGAGUAUCCUGGACAGCGCGCAUCUGGCCCUUUUUCUUCUUUUAGGGAAGGACUGCGGGUAGAAGGACUUGACUGCGGGUGGGAGUGAAUGAAGACGGUGUCCGCGGGCCCGGGUGGCCGCAGCUAACUCAGUCUCUGCGUCCCUCACUUGUUGACCCAGAGAAGUAAGCGAACGCAAUGGACGCCUCCCCCGGCAGGAGCCUCUGUACUGCGCGGGGGCAGGCGGGCGGCCCAGCCCCAGCGGAUGGAGCCCGGGCACCUGGUCACCCUGCCUCCCAGAUUCGCGGGCGCAGUGGGCACAGAAGCCCAACUUCCUUCCCUCUUCGACCCCCUUCCCUCCCUGCGAUCUGAACUGAACCUAGGACAGUUCUGAAGUUAACACCCCUCUUCCAAAGUAAAAGACCCAGACCAUAUUUUAAUUUUUUAAAAAAGAACAAGUCGACCGGGGGCAGUGGUUCACACCUGUAAUCCCAGAACUUUGGGAGGCCGAGGCGGGCGGAUCACGAGGUCAGGAGUUCUAGACCAGCCUGCCCAACACAGUGAAACCCCAUCUCUACUAAAAAUACAAAAAAUUAGCCAAGCGUGCUGGCGCAUGCCUGUAGUCUCAGCUACUUGGGAGGCUGAAGCAGGGGAAUCGCUUGAAUCCAGAGGCGGAGGUUGCAGUGAGCUGAGAUGGGGCGACUGCACUCCAACUUAGGGACAGAGCGAGACUCCGUCUCAAAAAGAAACAAAAAAGAACAAGUCAAGCGGGGUGGCUCAUGCCUGUAGUCCCAGCACCUUGGGAGGCCUAGGCGGGCAGAUCACUUGAGGUCAGGAAUGAGACCAAUCUAACCAACACGGUAAAACUCUGUCUCCACUAAAAAUACGAAAAUUGCCUGGGCUUGGUGGCACGCACCUGCAAUCCCAGAUAUUCGGUAGGCUGAGGCAGGAGAAUGAUUUGAACCCAGGAGGCGAAGGUUGCAGUGAGCCCAGAUCGCCUCACUGCACUCCAAGCUGGGUGACAAGAGCAGGACUCAGUCUCAAA
rnacentral:lncRNA from 1 species